rnacentral:rRNA from 1 species
GCCUAACACAUGCAAGUCGAACGGCAGCACAGGAGAGCUUGCUCUCUGGGUGGCGAGUGGCGGACGGGUGAGGAAUACAUCGGAAUCUACUCUGUCGUGGGGGAUAACGUAGGGAAACUUACGCUAAUACCGCAUACGACCUACGGGUGAAAGCAGGGGACCUUCGGGCCUUGCGCGAUUGAAUGAGCCGAUGUCGGAUUAGCUAGUUGGCGGGGUAAAGGCCCACCAAGGCGACGAUCCGUAGCUGGUCUGAGAGGAUGAUCAGCCACACUGGAACUGAGACACGGUCCAGACUCCUACGGGAGGCAGCAGUGGGGAAUAUUGGACAAUGGGCGCAAGCCUGAUCCAGCCAUACCGCGUGGGUGAAGAAGGCCUUCGGGUUGUAAAGCCCUUUUGUUGGGAAAGAAAUCCAUCUGGCUAAUACCCGGUUGGGAUGACGGUACCCAAAGAAUAAGCACCGGCUAACUUCGUGCCAGCAGCCGCGGUAAUACGAAGGGUGCAAGCGUUACUCGGAAUUACUGGGCGUAAAGCGUGCGUAGGUGGUCGUUUAAUUCCGUUGUGAAAGCCCUGGGCUCAACCUGGCAACUGCAAUGGAUACUGGGCAACUAGAACGUGGUAGAGGGUAGCGCAAUUCCUGGUGUACCAGUGAAAUGCGUAGAGAUCAGGAGGAACAUCCAUGGCGCCCGCAGUUACCUGGACCAAUUUUGACACUGAGGUCACUAAAGCCCC